ACGUUUUCUCUUUAUCCUUAUCUGUUCUGGUUGUCGGCUUCCUGUUUACUGUGUACCAGACCCCGGCUAGUCCUAGUUUACACUGUCUCUGUGUCCUUGACUUUGGAUCUUUCCUGACUCUGCCUCCUCUCCUAUACGUCAAGUCCGGCCAUUCUAAGGUCCGGUAGACGUAUCUCUCCUCUGUGUUGUCUUCUGUUUAGCUGAAUCCUGCGUGUUGGGGUAUAUUCUCGUUACAGCUGUGAUGUUUGGUCCUCUAGAUCUUCCAUUUUAAAUGGAUUUUGGGGUCCUCCUCUUUAAUGGCUUCAGUCCAUAUUGUCCAAUCACAUUAAUAGUUACAUAUCCUUCAUGUAGUAUAUUAUGUGUGCAUCUCUUUAAUUGGAUCUCAUAGUUGGCGCCCUUGUUGUCCUCGGAUUUCAUUGGGGGAUUGUGGUGGUUGGCGGAAGUGCUCCGCUUGCGUCUGGGCGGUUGGCAGAAAUGAUGUCACGGACCCACGUGAUCGUCACUCCGCCGCCGUCCGAAAGUUCUCUAUCCCCUCCGUCAUGACGCACGCUCCUCCUGCGUGCAGGUAGGGGGGAGGGAGCAGUGUGUGUCCACGUCGGUAUUCUCCACCCAUAGGGCGUGCCGAAGUGGUCCGAGGCUCCUCCCCCCGGUCUGCAGCAGAAGACACUGAGCGCACGGCAAAAAGGGGGAGUGAGUCAGACGGGGGAGGGAGGGAAAAACAAACCUCCUGGACGGCCUGAUAUGGGAGUAAUGCAAUACAGUAGAUUAUAAUGAAACAAAGUGCAAAAAUAAGAAUGCAUUAAUAUAGAUUGCACUGAUUUAAUACCCAUAAUGGUCUUAUUGU